ensembl:lncRNA
CAGUAAAUAAUGGGCAGGAGGGCAAACUGGCGCUAAAAUCACAAGAAAGAUGCAGACGGACAAAACAGGCGUUAGUGGUGCAGACACCGCUGAAAACGAAACCCCGUCAUAUUCUGAAGUUGAACUCGAAGGAAAUGAAGUGAACCCCUGGCCAUAUUUAUGCUUUAUUAUGCAGUGUAAGCUGUGCUUGCCUAGGGAGACCAAACUAGCAGCUUAUAAAAUCUCGACAAGACGUCAACCCUUCGCAAGCAUGUAGAGCCCUAAAAUGUCCUGACUGCGGAGAUGCAAAGGACAGGAUGUUGCCUUCUACUUCUCGCCACUCGCCAUUUUCCGCUGAAACCUCCAGGUCUGGGAAGGGUAAUACUUCCUCCUCAACAGAUAACCAUCCAUCCUUGGAGGCUAGAUGUCCUACUUUAGCACCAUCAUUCUGUGCCA